CAUGGGAGGGGUGCUGAGGAAGAAGCGCACAUAGCCUCUGAGCCAGGCAUCUCACUGGGGUCGCCUCUGGGCCAGGCUGCAGCUAGGGAGGGUUCUUGAGUGGGAGGAAAGUAUUGGGGGCUGGCAGCUUUCUGGGGGAGGCCAGGGGUGCCGGAUGGUGACCCAUGCCCGGCCUUCUGUGUCCAGGUUUACUCCAUCAUCUCCGUGCAGCUGCUCAUCACUGUGGCCAUCAUCGCUAUCUUCACCUUUGUGGAACCUGUCAGCGCCUUUGUGAGGAGAAAUGUGGCUGUCUACUACGUGUCCUAUGCUGUCUUCGUUGUCACCUACCUGAUCCUUGCCUGCUGCCAGGGACCCAGGUGAGUCCCAGAGACUUAGACAGUGAGAGGGGUGACAGGGAUUGGGAUGGGGGCCGAGUAUUUUGGAAAGAAAAAGGAUUCCUUUAUAGCAGCUGAAUGGAAACUUAC
rnacentral:sRNA from 1 species